rnacentral:rRNA from 1 species
AGCCCCGUACACAAAAAUGCACAUAUUGUGAGCUCGAUGAGUAGGGCGGGACACGUGGUAUCCUGUCUGAAUAUGGGGGGACCAUCCUCCAAGGCUAAAUACUCCUGACUGACCGAUAGUGAACCAGUACCGUGAGGGAAAGGCGAAAAGAACCCCGGCGAGGGGAGUGAAAAAGAACCUGAAACCGUGUACGUACAAGCAGUGGGAGCCUCUUAAUGGGGUGACUGCGUACCUUUUGUAUAAUGGGUCAGCGACUUAUAUUCUGUAGCAAGGUUAACCGAAUAGGGGAGCCGAAGGGAAACCGAGUCUUAACUGGGCGUUAAGUUGCAGGGUAUAGACCCGAAACCCGGUGAUCUAGCCAUGGGCAGGUUGAAGGUUGGGUAACACUAACUGGAGGACCGAACCGACUAAUGUUGAAAAAUUAGCGGAUGACUUGUGGCUGGGGGUGAAAGGCCAAUCAAACCGGGAGAUAGCUGGUUCUCCCCGAAAGCUAUUUAGGUAGCGCCUCGUGAAUUCAUCUCCGGGGGUAGAGCACUGUUUCGGCAAGGGGGUCAUCCCGACUUACCAACCCGAUGCAAACUGCGAAUACCGGAGAAUGUUAUCACGGGAGACACACGGCGGGUGCUAACGUCCGUCGUGAAGAGGGAAACAACCCAGACCGCCAGCUAAGGUCCCAAAGUCAUGGUUAAGUGGGAAACGAUGUGGGAAGGCCCAGACAGCCAGGAUGUUGGCUUAGAAGCAGCCAUCAUUUAAAGAAAGCGUAAUAGCUCACUGGUCGAGUCGGCCUGCGCGGAAGAUGUAACGGGGCUAAACCAUGCACCGAAGCUGCGGCAGCGACACUAUGUGUUGUUGGGUAGGGGAGCGUUCUGUAAGCCUGUGAAGGUGUGCUGUGAGGCAUGCUGGAGGUAUCAGAAGUGCGAAUGCUGACAUAAGUAACGAUAAAGCGGGUGAAAAGCCCGCUCGCCGGAAGACCAAGGGUUCCUGUCCAACGUUAAUCGGGGCAGGGUGAGUCGACCCCUAAGGCGAGGCCGAAAGGCGUAGUCGAUGGGAAACAGGUUAAUAUUCCUGUACUUGGUGUUACUGCGAAGGGGGGACGGAGAAGGCUAUGUUGGCCGGGCGACGGUUGUCCCGGUUUAAGCGUGUAGGCUGGUUUUCCAGGCAAAUCCGGAAAACCAAGGCUGAGGCGUGAUGACGAGGCACUACGGUGCUGAAGCGACAAAUGCCCUGCUUCCAGGAAAAGCCUCUAAGCAUCAGGUAACAUCAAAUCGUACCCCAAACCGACACAGGUGGUCAGGUAGAGAAUACCAAGGCGCUUGAGAGAACUCGGGUGAAGGAACUAGGCAAAAUGGUGCCGUAACUUCGGGAGAAGGCACGCUGAUAUGUAGGUGAAGCGACUUGCUCGUGGAGCUGAAAUCAGUCGAAGAUACCAGCUGGCUGCAACUGUUUAUUAAAAACACAGCACUGUGCAAACACGAAAGUGGACGUAUACGGUGUGACGCCUGCCCGGUGCCGGAAGGUUAAUUGAUGGGGUUAGCGGUAACGCGAAGCUCUUGAUCGAAGCCCCGGUAAACGGCGGCCGUAACUAUAACGGUCCUAAGGUAGCGAAAUUCCUUGUCGGGUAAGUUCCGACCUGCACGAAUGGCGUAAUGAUGGCCAGGCUGUCUCCACCCGAGACUCAGUGAAAUUGAACUCGCUGUGAAGAUGCAGUGUACCCGCGGCAAGACGGAAAGACCCCGUGAACCUUUACUAUAGCUUGACACUGAACAUUGAGCCUUGAUGUGUAGGAUAGGUGGGAGGCUUUGAAGUGUGGACGCCAGUCUGCAUGGAGCCGACCUUGAAAUACCACCCUUUAAUGUUUGAUGUUCUAACGUGGGCCCCUAAUCGGGGUUGCGGACAGUGUCUGGUGGGUAGUUUGACUGGGGCGGUCUCCUCCUAAAGAGUAACGGAGGAGCACGAAGGUUGGCUAAUCCUGGUCGGACAUCAGGAGGUUAGUGCAAUGGCAUAAGCCAGCUUGACUGCGAGCGUGACGGCGCGAGCAGGUGCGAAAGCAGGUCAUAGUGAUCCGGUGGUUCUGAAUGGAAGGGCCAUCGCUCAACGGAUAAAAGGUACUCCGGGGAUAACAGGCUGAUACCGCCCAAGAGUUCAUAUCGACGGCGGUGUUUGGCACCUCGAUGUCGGCUCAUCACAUCCUGGGGCUGAAGUAGGUCCCAAGGGUAUGGCUGUUCGCCAUUUAAAGUGGUACGCGAGCUGGGUUUAGAACGUCGUGAGACAGUUCGGUCCCUAUCUGCCGUGGGCGCUGGAGAACUGAGGGGGGCUGCUCCUAGUACGAGAGGACCGGAGUGGACGCAUCACUGGUGUUCGGGUUGUCAUGCCAAUGGCACUGCCCGGUAGCUAAAUGCGGAAGAGAUAAGUGCUGAAAGCAUCUAAGCACGAAACUUGCCCCGAGAUGAGUUCUCCCUGAGACUUAGAGUCUCCUGAAGGAACGUUGAAGACGACGACGUUGAUAGGCCGGGUGUGUAAGCGCAGCGAUGCGUUGAGCUAAC